rnacentral:rRNA from 1 species
CCGGAGGAAGGUGGGGAUGACGUCAAGUCAUCAUGGCCCUUACGGCCUGGGCUACACACGUGCUACAAUGGUCGGUACAGAGGGUUCCCAAGCCGCGAGGUGGAGCUAAUCUCACAAAACCGAUCGUAGUCCGGAUCGCAGUCUGCAACUCGACUGCGUGAAGUCGGAAUCGCUAGUAAUCGCGAAUCAGAAUGUCGCGGUGAAUACGUUCCNUUCCCGGGCCUUGUACACACCGCCCGUCACACCAUGGGAGUGGGUUGCACCAGAAGUAGCUAGUCUAACCUUCGGGGGGACGGUUACCACGGUGUGAUUCAUGACUGGGGUGAAGUCGUAACAAGGUAGCCGUAGGGGAACCUGCGGCUGGAUCACCUCCUUAAUCGACGAC